CAAUGGCCGGUACAAAGGGCUGCAAGACCGUGAGGUUGAGCCGAAUCCCAGAAAGCCGGUCUCAGUUCGGAUUGGAGUCUGCAACUCGACUCCAUGAAGUUGGAAUCGCUAGUAAUCGCGGAUCAGCAUGCCGCGGUGAAUACGUUCCCGGGCCUU
rnacentral:rRNA from 1 species